UGUAGAUUUUAUUUACAGGCCGGUGAAGAUCAUAUCAGUAUGGUCCAGAAGAUGAUAGCUGGCUAAUGUGGAAAAAUAUUUACUAAGGAAGGGCCACGGCAGGAAAUAUCCUGCUCAAAAUAUGAAGCACACAACGAAGGGUCACUACAAACUUUGCGAAGAAGUCUAGGAGCCAAUCAACAAGAAAAUGGUAAAAUCACUUGUGUUAAAGAAUAAUAUCACUCUUUAUAUGCAGU
rnacentral:misc_RNA from 1 species